rnacentral:rRNA from 1 species
UACGUAGGGUGCAAGCGUUAAUCGGAAUUACUGGGCGUAAAGCGUGCGCAGGCGGCUUUGCAAGACAGAUGUGAAAUCCCCGGGCUUAACCUGGGAACUGCAUUUGUGACUGCAUGGCUGGAGUGCGGCAGAGGGGGAUGGAAUUCCGCGUGUAGCAGUGAAAUGCGUAGAUAUCAGGAGGAACACCGAUGGCGAAGGCAGGUCUCUGGGCUGACACUGACGCUCAUGCACGAAAGCGUGGGGAGCAAACAGG